AGGUAAGAACUGGGUCACUCAGCCAGCCCUGGCUUCAAGGGGAGUAUGAGAAGAUACCAAUCACAAGCCCACGUUGUUAGCUGUGCUUCUGACCAACCGGCUACAGAUUAGAGGUUCCCACAACCCUCUCCUUGGACUUCAGACACCAGUUAUUUCCUCCAGGGGUGCUGACUAUGAAAGAUGCUGAUCUUUAUAUCAGACUCAGGAAAAAUGGGAGAGUAUCAAACCAUGUCUUAAGAAAAGCAUCUGAUUGACCAGUGAUUCUUUCUGUGAUUAAAAAGAUAGAAAGCUUACAAAACAUAUGUAUUUUUAUUUGAUUUACAUAUUCAAUUCCGUAGUUACGUAAUGUGUGUUUCAUUAACAGCUGUUAAAACCUAGGUUUUGAAAUGCCAUUCCAGCUAACAGAAUUCUAACCAAAAGGAUAUGAAAUGACAUUCUACCCAUACUCUUCAAAAGUAUAAAUGCCAUUUAAGGAGUAAAGAGUUUCUCUUGGAUUAUUUCACUGGCUGAGGUAGGGGUUGGUGGGGAACGGGUAACAGCUGUGAAGAACUCUCAUUUUACAACUCAGAUAACUAGGAUGGUGUUAUUUCAACAAGAUGUGAGUGUGGGACAAGAGCAGUUUAAGGAGGUAGGAGAGGUAUUAGGAAGUGUUGGGCUAGCUAUGCCUGUGGGACAUCUAGGUGGACAUUUAGUGGGCAGGUAAAUAUAUAGAUUUGGGCUUUGGGGAUGCUUGAGAGGAGGAUAUUGAUUUUGAAGUCAGUAACAUCAUGAUAGUGAUAUCAUAUGAGGAAAUAAAUAUGAUGAUCAAACGAGACAGUGAAUUUGUGGUGGAGCAGUUACCUGGGCAGAAGACAGAGGGGCUGAAAUGCUAGAGUGUGGAGAAAGGAAGAGGAUCUGGCAUCAGGGGCAGAAAAGCACUAACAGAGCAAAGUAUUUCAGGCACUCUGGGAGGUGAGAAUUUCUAGAGAGAAAAUGGACAAUAGUGUCUAAUUCUGAAGCAAGGUUAAAAAACCAAUACUAAAACAGAAAAGUAUUGUGACCAUUCAAACCUUUAUUGAGUGUUGAAUGAAUGGAUUUGGUGGCCAGGAGGUCAUUAUCUGUCUUUGUGAGUUACCAAACAGUGGAGGGGAUGGAAGAUUGCUGUAGGCUGAGAUGUGACUUGGAGGCAAGGAAGCUGACAGACAGAAUGUAAUCUAGUGCUUCAAAAACUUUCAGGAAAAGGAAGGAAAAGCUAGACCAUCAGUUCAUCUACUAGAAAGCAAGCUCCAAGGGAACAGGGUUAAUGUCUUUUUAUUUUUUAAUGAAAAAUGAGUUCCCACACUCAAUAUGUCUGGCUUAUUAAGUAAGGACUGAAUAAACACUGCUAAAGGAAAGAAAUGAUGAGGGGUCAGGAA